AUGGAUACAAAAAAACAUUUUAUGGAGCAUACCUACAUAGAAGUUGAGAAGGCACUGCAAGGAAAGCAACAAGAUAAUAUUACCAAAACAUAGACAUUCCACCAAAACAAGACUAUAUGACAGUACCUUAUACACUAGGCAACAUGAAAUUCAAUCUAGCAAGUUGCAUGGGAAGAAUAGCAUACAGAAGAAUGUCAAAUAUAUUUAAUAGCCUAAGGAAUAAGAAGAAUAAAAAAGAAAACUUAGAAAAAUUGAAUAUCUAUAAGAUACCAUUCGAAUAUCAAGAUACACAUAGGAAAGCAGCACAUACAGGCAUGAUAAAGAGAACACUGGGC
rnacentral:lncRNA from 1 species